UUGAAUUACUGGCUUACUGCAAUUAAUUUGAUGUGUUUUUCUUCCCUAUUUAACCUGCAUCAUUGUAACCCUACUUGUUCAUCUCACUCUGUCUGUUCUUUGUUCUUUUUUUUUUCCAAUCGCAAGAAUAUAUUUUAUUCAUUUUUUUUCAAUUGAGAGAAUCUGCCUUUGUGAUUGAAGUUCUUCUUUGUUGGAAAUUUCUGGUUUUAUUAGAUACUUAUUUGCUUCUAUAUGCUACUUGAAAGAAUCAGUUUUUGUUCUUGUUGCUGCUGCAUGACUUGAAUCUAUAUUCUUUUGUAUGGAAAAUCAGGUCAAGAGGGAAAAGGUUCGAAUUUGUUCAAAAUAAAUAAUUAGGUAAAUGCAGAUACAACAAGCUACUGAACGUGGAAAUAAAUGUUUUAUUUGUUUCAGGAUCUAAAUUAUUACUUAUUUGAUUCUUAUUUGAAAUUUGCUUUGGCAGUCUCAGUUUCUAUCUAAAUGACUCAGACUAAAUGAAUUCUAAUGAGGUAUAGUUUGCUUGUUUCCCUGAUUUCGUACACUUCUUAGCAUAUGGUAUCUUGUUGUUACAGAUUGAAUCUUCUUCCUUCAUAACAAACUCACCUAUGUGUCUUAAGAUUUUCCGGCAUCAGUUUGGUAAGUUUCCCACUUUGCUAUGUGCUAGUUGCCUUCCAAGUGUUUUUUAUCGUCUCGUGAAUUAUGGCAUAACAUAUGUGCAUCAGUUUUAAACCAUUUAUAGCUAUCUGCCUUGUUAUAGAACUAAAAUUUCAAAAAUGUAUUUGUUGUGGCAAGCAUUCUGCUGGUUUACAUGUCCAAACUCUCCUUACUCACAAAUGAUAAAAAUAGACUUGGCUGGAUUUCUUAGGCAAAAGUUGCAAUGGUGGGUGAGGUUUAGCUAAAGUAGUUAAAAGAAUAAAGUUUUCAUGGUUAACUGUUUGGCCCCGAAAAAAACUGGUAUUGAAAAAUUACAUGUAGAUAAUUAUGUAUGAAGUCCUUUUUUCCUUUUCAGUUUUACUUCGAAGUAAGCUCUCUUACAUUGCGUGUUUAUCCAAACAGUUCCAAUUUCUGUAUGUCUUUACUUUAGCUAGGUUUUAGCCACCUUUGAUAAGUUUUGCCUAAGAAAACCAGUCUGGCCUAUCUACGUCGUUUGUGAAAGAGGAAUGAGUCCCCUUGAAUAUUUUGAACCAGUAAAUGCUUUAUCUGAGGAAUCAGUUUAUGCUGUAAUAUCAUGUAAACAUGUGUGCUAUAAAUUCUUUCAAUUGUUUUUUCUUCCCUCUACCCCUGAAAUCUGGCGAAGCCAGAACAUGAAUAUCACUUCUCAUUUACAAGUUGUAAUAUGUUCAUUUUGUUGUUUAUAACAUAAUUUAUUUAUAAUCCAUCCAUAUUUAGGAUCUUAAACUUGGUUUGCCGUUUGAGUGGCAAGACUAAGAUGUGAAGUUCCUGUUUCUCCUCAUCUUAUUAGAGCCUAGGGAAAAUAUGGAAAGCAUGUUUGACGUCGCAGGUGUCAAGGAUGGAAAUACAAUUAAUUCACCAUGUGUAAAUAUUUUUUGGGAGGAGCUAAACAACAAGAUUCUUUUCGAGCUGCUGAAGAACUGAAGAGUCAGAACGUCAAACCCAAUCUUUUUCCCUCUACUACUCAAAGAGAACGGCAGACUCAGUUGUGAAAGGAUAUGGUUCUUGUCAUUCCUAUCUAUGUCAGACACGAGAUCUUUAACCACUUCCCAUGAUGUUUUCGAGUGAGCGAUACAAAUUUUCCUCCGCCAUGUGUGCAUGGAAGCCUCGACUUUGUCUGCCAGCUCGAGGGCUUCGUGCUCGGAGCUUAUGUUGAGAGAAUCAAGCAGAUGAUUAGGGUAGCCAUGUAUGAUUCUGGGAUCUGCAUUUCAGAAAGAAUGCCACUGUUUAUUGCCAUUGCUGCCUUGUGAAUCUGGCUAGCACGGUCGUGCUUCUGCCUCAGAUGUUUCUUGCUUUUCUCGGAGAGGCCACCAAGGGGGACGCAGGGAACAGGAGCAGCGCGUCGAGUUUCUUCAAGGCUGGGAGGUUGAUGUGAAUGUCUGAUCUUGGCCUGCUUGCCAU